AGAGUUUGAUCCUGGCUCAGAUUGAACGCUGGCGGCAUGCCUUACACAUGCAAGUCGAACGGCAGCACGGGGGCAACCCUGGUGGCGAGUGGCGAACGGGUGAGUAAUACAUCGGAACGUGUCCUGGAGUGGGGGAUAGCCCGGCGAAAGCCGGAUUAAUACCGCAUACGCUCUGAGGAGGAAAGGGGGGGAUCGCAAGACCUCUCGCUCAAGGGGCGGCCGAUGGCAGAUUAGCUAGUUGGUGGGGUAAAGGCCUACCAAGGCGACGAUCUGUAGCUGGUCUGAGAGGACGACCAGCCACACUGGGACUGAGACACGGCCCAGACUCCUACGGGAGGCAGCAGUGGGGAAUUUUGGACAAUGGGCGCAAGCCUGAUCCAGCAAUGCCGCGUGUGUGAAGAAGGCCUUCGGGUUGUAAAGCACUUUUGUCCGGAAAGAAAACCUCAGCCCUAAUACGGCGGGGGGAUGACGGUACCGGAAGAAUAAGCACCGGCUAACUACGUGCCAGCAGCCGCGGUAAUACGUAGGGUGCGAGCGUUAAUCGGAAUUACUGGGCGUAAAGCGUGCGCAGGCGGUUCGUUAAGACAGAUGUGAAAUCCCCGGGCUUAACCUGGGAACUGCAUUUGUGACUGGCGGGCUAGAGUAUGGCAGAGGGGGGUAGAAUUCCACGUGUAGCAGUGAAAUGCGUAGAGAUGUGGAGGAAUACCGAUGGCGAAGGCAGCCCCCUGGGCCAAUACUGACGCUCAUGCACGAAAGCGUGGGGAGCAAACAGGAUUAGAUACCCUGGUAGUCCACGCCCUAAACGAUGUCAACUAGUUGUCGGGUCUUCAUUGACUUGGUAACGUAGCUAACGCGUGAAGUUGACCGCCUGGGGAGUACGGUCGCAAGAUUAAAACUCAAAGGAAUUGACGGGGACCCGCACAAGCGGUGGAUGAUGUGGAUUAUUCGAUGCACGCGAAAACCUUACCUACCCUUGACAUGGACGGAACCUGCUGAAAGGCCGGGUGCUCGAAAGAGAA
rnacentral:rRNA from 1 species